rnacentral:rRNA from 1 species
GACGAACGCUGGCGGCGUGCUUAACACAUGCAAGUCGAACGGUAAGGCCCUUCGGGGUACACGAGUGGCGAACGGGUGAGUAACACGUGGGUGAUCUGCCCUGCACUUCGGGAUAAGCCUGGGAAACUGGGUCUAAUACCGGAUAGGACCACUGCCUGCAGGGGUGGUGGUGGAAAGCUUUUGCGGUGUGGGAUGGGCCCGCGGCCUAUCAGCUUGUUGGUGGGGUGAUGGCCUACCAAGGCGACGACGGGUAGCCGGCCUGAGAGGGUGACCGGCCACACUGGGACUGAGAUACGGCCCAGACUCCUACGGGAGGCAGCAGUGGGGAAUAUUGCACAAUGGGCGCAAGCCUGAUGCAGCGACGCCGCGUGAGGGAUGACGGCCUUCGGGUUGUAAACCUCUUUCAGCACCGACGAAGCGCAGGUGACGGUAGGUGCAGAAGAAGGACCGGCCAACUACGUGCCAGCCGCCGCCGUAAAAC